ACGGGGGCAGCAGUGGGGAAUAUUGGGCAAUGGGCGAAAGCCUGACCCAGCAAUGCCGCGUGAAGGGAGAAGGUCUUCGGAUUGUAAACUUCUUUUACCAGGGACGAAGGAAGUGACGGUACCUGAUGAAUAAGCCACGGCUAACUACGUGCCAGCAGCCGCGGUAAUACGUAGGUGGCGAGCGUUAUCCGGAUUUACUGGGUGUAAAGGGCGCGUAGGCGGGGAUGCAAGUCAGAUGUGAAACCUAUGGGCUUAACUCAUAAACUGCAUUUGAAACUGUAUCUCUUGAGUGUCGGAGAGGUAGAUGGAAUUCCUAGUGUAGCGGUGAAAUGCGUAGAUAUUAGGAGGAACACCAGUGGCGAAGGCGAUCUACUGGACGAUAACUGACGCUGAGGCGCGAAAGCGUGGGGAGCAAACAGGAUUAGAUACCCUGGUA
rnacentral:rRNA from 1 species